UUUCCGGUUGAUCCUGCCGGAGGCCACUGCUAUUGGGGUUCGGCUAAGCCAUGCGAGCGGAGGGCGCGGUCGCAAGAUCGUGGCCCCGCACACGGCUCAGUAACACGUAGUCAAUCUGCCCUCGAGUCUGGGACAACCUCGGGAAACUGAGGACAAUCCCGGAUAGGCGAUGGACGCUGGAAUGCCUCAUCGCCCAAAGCUCCGGCGCUCGAGGAUGGGACUGCGGCCUAUCAGGCUGUUGGUGGUGUAACGGACCACCAAACCUACGACGGGUAUGGGCAAUGGGAGUUGGAGCCCAGAGAUGGGGACUGAGACAAGGCCCCAGGCCCUACGGGGCGCAGCAGGCGCGAAAACUCCGCAAUGCGCGAAAGCGUGACGGGGGGACCCCAARUGCCGUUGGUCUUUUGAUCGACGGCUUUUAGGAAGUCUAAGAAGCUUCCAGAAUAAGGGCUGGGCAAGACUGGUGCCAGCCGCCGCGGUAAUACCAGCUGCCCAAGUGGUGGUCGCGUUUAUUGGGCCUAAAGCGCUCGUAGCCGGGCUUGCGAGUCCCUUGUGAAAUCGGACGGCUCAACCGUUCGGCGUGCAAGGGAUACUGCUAGCCUUGGGAUCGGGAGAGGUCGGGGGUACUUCAGGGGUAGCGGUGAAAUGCUUAUUCCCUGGAGGACCACCAGUGGCGAAGGCGCCCGACCAUAACGGAUCCGACGGUGAGGGGCGAAGGCUAGGGGAGCGAACGGGAUUAGAUACCCCGGUAGUCCUAGCAGUAAAGGAUGCGGGCUGGGUGUCAGGCGCCCUUUUAGAGCGCCUAGUGCCGUAGGGAAGCCGUUAAGCCCGCCGCCUGGGAAGUACGGUCGCAAGGCUGAAACUUAAAGGAAUUGGCG
rnacentral:rRNA from 1 species